rnacentral:lncRNA from 1 species
GUUUUUUUUUGGUUUUGCAUUACCUUGAUUAGCCAUACUAGCUAGUUGAGGUUGGUUGCCCGUAAAUAUGUCAGUGUUAGCGCCUUGUGACUGAACUUGCCAUGGGGCCCCCCUGAGAGUGUUUUGGUCAUAAGAACCUGCAAAAAAAAUGGGAGUGUAGGACAUAAGUAGAAUGUCAUCUUCAUCGUUGCGAAGUUGGCAACUGCUCUCUUCUUUUUGUUUCCACGCAUCAUACCUACGCCUGCAUACUGUUCUAGUAGUGGCAGCAACGGCCCUGCAGAGAUGAGUUGACUAUACUCUGCUGCAUCCCAAGGCGGUGUUUCUGGCCUUUGAGAACCCCAACCAUCAGCGCCACCUUCGCGAUUCAUCCUUUCCGCGUCUAGAUUCUUUUCCGACAUGUUCUCAAUCACUGGAUGAUCAAAAAGGCAUCAAUAAUCCACAAGAAUUGUAUUCUUCUGCUGCUUGCACAUGGAAGAUAGGGAUGGCAAGCAACAGGUCAAAAUAGGUGGCAAUUGUCAUCAUACACAAGCGGCAACUGUCGUUACACACCUAGUGGCAAUUAUUUUUUCCCACCCUCUUCAUUCAAAAAAUCGUCCUUCCUGCCCUUUUUUAGGGAUUCCUACUCAUCCAUUUCAUACCCAACUACUUAAGUGCCUAAACUAGGCACCUAAGUUAACCUCAAACGUAGUACAUGGCAGAUCUGGUGUAUUCUGCCUGGCAAUUGCGAAUAUACACCGAACCAUGCAGUGUUCUACCCCUAUAGUAUGGACCCAGUACAAGAUCGGGAGAUUUUCAGCCUUAAGGAUGAGAGGGAAGGACGAGAUCGAGAAUUUUUCACCUGGUUUUAGUUGAUCGUGUCUGGAGGGCUCGAUUGGAGUGGGCGGCUGGGGAUGGGAAGGGUUAGGGUGUAGUUUGGGGUCGGAGCGCCCUACGGAUCUGCCCUGGUUGCCAUGGCAACCAGGGAUGGCCGGCGACGGAUGUCGGGGUUCGAGAGGUGGGGGACGAUGGCGGCGUACGAGAGAGGGGAUGGAUCGGAGGCGUGGAUCGGCUGGGUCGUGCGGGCAGCCGGUCUUCUGGCCCGGACAGGGCAGUGCGGGCGGGGUUGCCACACACCGAACGUGCGGGCCGUGCUUUUGUGCGCUCGGACGUGGUCGUGCGGGCCGAUCCCCGUCUAUGCCGCACGAGGCGUGCGGGCGGGUUCUUAUCGACGCCAUACGUGUGGCAGUUAUUCGGACCCCAAACCUAUCAAAAAAAAAUCCACAACAAAGCUGAACAACCGUCUCACCGUUUCGGCCGCUGAGACCGGUCGUUCCUCCAGGAGCCUUGGGACCGGUAGGUAGGUGCUGAGCACGCGCGGCCUCGCAGGCUAGCAAAGCAGAGCGCCCUGGCCCUAGUUUCAAUGGCCCCACCCUCGCGCCAGGAGUCCGUCCGUUCGGAGUCCAUCUAUCUCUCGCACGCUUCCUCUCCUCCCGGCCAUGGCGGCGGCAGCGACGUCCUGCUUCGUCCUCGUCCUCGCGCUCUGCCUUCUCGGUCAGCUACACGCACAGUUGCUACGGCGUUGUAGUUAACUGACAUCGACGUUUCGCUCUGAUGCCUUAAUCGUGCGUGUGCAGUGUCCAUGGCGCUGAUGGCGGGGCACUACUACGGCCGGGCGGAGCUGGUCGCCGGCCCGGGCUGCUCGCGGCUCCUGCGGGCGAACCCGCUAUUGGUGCAGGACAUCACGGUGAGGACUGCGGAGGAGGAAGAAGGGUCGGGGGCGAACGGGCUCGUGCUCUACGGGCUCGCCGAGAUACCCGGCCUCGACGACGUGCCCGCGGUGUGGUCGGAGGCUCGCCGCGUCGUGCUGCCGGCCAACUCUCACAAGGUACACUGCCCCGCACUCGUGCUUCCGCCGUGUCAGAUGAUCGAUACUCAACACGCGUGAUUCAGAAGUUCAGACUAAGCUAUGUAUAAAAAUGGUGUGAACUAGAGCUACAUGUCUUGUGUAUAAACGCGCGCGCGCAUGCAGGAAUGGGUCUAUUUUCUGAACGAAGGUAGUCAGAUCGAGGUCAACUACAGCGUCGAGCCUGUAACUGGACUAACCAAUCCACUCCGGAUCACCAUUGCUCAAGGUAAUAGAGGGUUCUGAUUAAUAUCCUAAAGCUACUAUUAGUACUCAUGUGCUGAGAUUUGGAGCUUGCACAGUAGCAGGUAAGGAAGGCUUCACGCAGUGGUCAGAGGAACCAUCGGUAAACGGUAAGCAUGCACCGUCAGAGCCUCUGAACCGCAGCUAUGUGGUAACAUUACAAGAUCCUAACCUUGCCAAAUCACAGGAACCGGAGCAGUUAAGCAGAUCAUCGAUUCAUCCGACGACUACUACGUCACCGUCAGCAACCUGCGCGACCAAGACACAACGGUAACAAAGUUGUAGAGUGGCAUCCCAUCCCAUCCCAUGUUCGGCCGCCGGUGUGAUCGAUCUUGGCCUGUAACAGCAGUUGAGCGGACUACUGAUUUGGGUUUUCGGCAUGCAGGCGACGCUGGAUUUCAGGAUCAGCUCCGUGCUCUACAACACGAGCGGAGCAGAGUACGCGUGCUCGCCGUCGCCGGGCAGCUCCGGCUGCAUCUACACGCUGCCGAUACUUGGGGAGAACGUGGCCGUCCUGUCGUCUGGUCUGAAAGAGGUGAGGACAUACCUCUCAACAUUCAGCCACGGUACGGGCACUGUUGUGAGCUUCUGAGACUGGACUCUGACGAUGCAUGGGCAGGGCGUGAAGGUGGAGCUCUCGUACGGGCCGCGCUGGAUCAUCUACUUCGUCGGCUCAGGUAGGGCGCAAAUGCAACCUCAUCUCAGCCCGAUGAAAUCACGCCACUAAAAUGUGUAGCUGAAUGUUGUUGAUGCGUACGUGACGCAGCCAUCCUGGCGGUGGCGCUGCUGCUGCUGUACGAGGUGCUGAGCGUGCUGCUCGGGUUCUGCUGCGCCGUCGUGGCCGACCAGAGGACGACGACGACGGCCUCGUUGCUGGAGAGCAAGGAGGAGGAAGAGGGCGGGAGCCGGGGCUCGUCCUUCGAAUCAGUGUCCUCCCACGACGGCGAGGCGGGCGACGAGGAGGAGGGGCGGCGGCUGUGCGUGGUGUGCUGCGACGCCCGGAGGGACUGCUUCUUCAUGCCCUGCGGCCACUCCGCCACCUGCCACGCCUGCGGCACCAAGUACGUAUCUUACGCGCAGCUUUUCGUAUUCUGCCAUGGAAGGGUAUAAGAUCAUGGAGGUGAUGCUAGUGAUGUGUGGCAGGAUUGUUGAGGGAGAUGCUAGCUGCUGCCCGUUCUGCCGGAGGAAGCUGAAGAAGGUGAGGAGGAUCUUCUGCGUAUGAGCGACAUUCUGAUCUCAUGAAGGUUGGCUGGCUUGGCCUGUGAGGAACCAAGGAUGAACAUUUCUGACUGUGAGGGCCAAAAAAAAUCAUACCAAAAAUCGCCCACCGUGGGGCUCGAACCCACGACCACAAGGUUAAGAGCCUUGCGCUCUACCAACUGAGCUAGACGGGCUUGGUGAGCCGUAAAUAAUUAGUAGUUGGUUACUGUGACUUUCCGAUGCGAAGAGCGUAGAAUGGUGUUGACUACCUUGUACUAGCACUCUAUGACAGCCUGUCAGCGGUUGCUUUGACAUCACGGUGUUAUCAGUUUUUCUUUUAUGAUGAGCAUCGCGUGUUAUAUUCCAACUAAUAGAGUGACUCCAGUCAGAAGAAAUACACAUAGUUGCGAAAGAAAUUACAAGGGUGGACACCUAAGACAAGAGCCAAACACGAGACGAAAGACAGAAAACGGAGUGGGAAACUGACUGAAGAAGUCAAACCAAAAUGGAGCGGCUACACGUCAGUCGAUUAAAAAAAUUUUAAGGGGUUAGUCGAUUUUCAUCUUUCAAUCUCCAUCGUUGGAUCUUGAUCAAACGCCCAGAACUUUAUCUUCAACCUCAAACUUGAUCUGUCCUGAGCCGCCGGCCUAACCACCGGUCCCCACCCUCCCCGAAACCACCCCUACCGUUGGUCUUCCGCCGCCCCUGGCCAUACCUCCCCCUUGCGCCGAGUUUUUUCUCUAGCAAAGCCCCACACCAUCACCCCCACCUUAAACCCUAAGAUAGAUACUGGGGUAGCCUCUCCGGCGAGCCCCCGCUGCGACUUUUUCUUCCUUCCCUCUGGCGCCUCAUUUCUUCUAGGGAAAAUCGACUGACCCAAAUCGGAUCUUCAGCUGACUGGAGUUUAGCUAAACUGAACCAAUAUAUCUAACAGCUGACACCUCGGGAGCGAUCCACGACAGCACAUGCAGAAAUGCACAUCAAGAACCUUAUUAGGGAAAUGAUAUUCCGUUGGUCGGGAGAGGCAUGCUGAAAGUGCUAGAAUCACUGAUGGAUAUGUUAGAUCUAGUUGUGGAUUAGAAUGCACAUACAUUCUGCUUGAUGUAUAGGAUGGUUAGACGAGUGUCGUCGUCCAUACUCUUCGUGGUUGAUGACACUAUGCCACAGCGACAAAAGAACUUGGGAUGCGACCCUGUCAAUGUUCGAUCGACGUUGUCUUUGCUAUGUCUCUAUUGGCGGGAUUCGGUCUUCAAAACCCAUUAGGUGAUAGGAGUUUAUUAGGUGCUUAUGGUGUGGCUUUUUCUUUUUCUGUGAUGGAGGUGCUUAUGGUUGUUGUUGGUCACUUUUAUGUUUUGCAAUGAUGGAUGCUCUCUUCAUUUGUGAUUGUUCCCUUGCAUGAAUCAGAUUUAAAAUUCCCUAGGGUGUUUCCUCUAAACAUAGACAAUGAAUCUCAUGAGCUCCUCACACUAGCUAUUACCCCUCUCAACAUAUCUUAGUCUUUUUUCUGCGAAAAGGCGCCUUAUGAAAAGCAAUGCCUGGGAGGUCAUCAACGUAGACCAGAAGGUGCCGACGACUGCGAUGUGUGUAGCAAAUCGUCGCUCGGAGAAGAAGACGCUAAAAAGAGCCUAUAGAUACUCCAAAGACCACAAACGCCAUCCGAAUCCGAAUGAAUCCACUGGAGACCAAAGCCGAAUAGAUUCAGGAAGAUUAGUUGGAGACGCCAAAAAGUGUACUGACAAAACGGAGAUAGGACGAGAAGGACAUUAGUCCAAAACUGGGACAACACCGGCGCCUUGGCGCCCCGACCAAGACACAACGACUCCCUAAAACUAGCCUAAACCAAGACACCCAUGCCAAUGUACGCCAAAUCCGGACUUCAUUCUUCACUUGAUACUUUCCAAGAUCUCCGUGAAAGGAACAUUUGAUUGGUAACUGCGUCUUAUUUGAUUUUAGGUUGCCCUAUUCUACAUAGUAAAAUAUAAAAAAUAUUGGAUUGUUAUGUACAUUGUUCGUUUCGUCAAACAUUAUUAACUAUCCGUGGGAACGCAUGUGUAUUAUGCUAGUAAAUACAAAUGAGCAGUGGAUAGGGGCGAUUCCGGUUCAUGCAUUACACGGUUGGAAGUAGAACCUGCCAUAUUAAUCAGCAAUAUGUGUAAUAUUGAUAUAAGCUAUAAUGUUGACAAACACACAAGCGGGGAUAGCUCAGUUGGGAGAGCGUCAGACUGAAGAUCUGAAGGUCGCGUGUUCGAUCCACGCUCACCGCAAUACGUUUCUUUUUAUUUAGACUACAUAUUUUUUUAGUUACAAAGAAAAGAAACUGAGUUCUCUGCAACUCUUUCUGUUCUUACAUCCCUGUAAACUCUAGAAGUAAUUUCAGAGCAGUAGUCUUCAGACUUUAAAAAAAAAAUCAUACUAUUGAUUUCCUUUCUUUUUUAUGAGCUCUCAGAGCCAUAAUUUCUUGUGUAAAGACUGGAACCUGAAAGAGAGAGCAGACUAACUGCCAUGAUCAUGCACAUCGAAACUGUAACAGGGGAGUAGCAAUAGUCCAAUAUCCUUUCAUUCUUUUCGACCAAUAAACGGCGAACCCCAAGAGGCCACAAUAUCAAACCCUCGUCACCACAGACUAAAUACAAAAACUCAAGUCAAUUGUCAUCAAAGCUAUGAGCAUGCCAUAAUCUCUCAACAUUGCACCGCCCUCGUCAUAACUUUGUUUCACAUUUCUCCAGUUACAACCAUACAUUUAUCCUACAGCUACCCCCGACUAUUUCCACCUUUCUCGUCUCGUCGAGUUACAGUCAGCAUACAAAAUACAUCCGAGCAACUGGAGAGUGCUCU